rfam:Gossypium hirsutum cultivar TM-1 chromosome 19, whole genome shotgun sequence
UAUUUAAAAUUUCAUCUAUUUGUGCUGUUAAAAACUAGCAUACUUGAUGGAAUAACUAAACUGUGACAUGUGGUGUGCCACGUAUACAUCAUGUUGGCAUAUAUGAACCAAUUUGUAAUAGUAGAAAUUGAUGAAUUUUUUAACA